CAGGGUUUUCUAUGGGAUGACCACUGAGGAGACGAUUCUGCGAGAGAUCAGCCUUUUCUGGGAGCUCUUGGGCUCCACAGACACUGUGCUCCAGGAAAGCUACAUCGUGGCCACUUAUGAAAAUCCCAGUGUCCCUCAGCGCCGCAACGAGAUCUGGUUCAUGUGCCGAGCAGAGUGAGUCCCAUCUGUGACCGCAAACCAUCCUGCAACCAGACCUGGUGUAGAUGGCAGUUCUGACCCAAAGGAGGCGAAUGCACAUCCUGACCCACUGUUCACCCACAAAAUGACAGACUGCAGGCUGGCUUUGCACUCUGCCCUGCAAGGGCCCAGCCAGGAGAAAUCUUGCCUGGUCUGCACUUCUUCUGCCCCACAGGGGCCAGCUGAGGUUGGAGCUGGCACCGGGGAGAGCCUCUGCAGCAGGCUCCUGGUGGGAAGAGUGUGGUGAGGGCUCACGUGAGGCAGUAACCGUGUGGGCUUGUGCAAUGUGCUAGCCUGACCUGGGCUUCUCUCAGCUCUGAGCUGUGCUUGCAGAGCUGUGCCAGGCACGCCAGUGGGGCUUGUGGUUGGCAAAGUCGCAAGCUGGUGGUGUCUAGAAGGCAAAUGACUGUACGAGGUGUGGGCUCUGUCUGGGCUCUGGCCUGCUUCCUGUGAGAAUGGCUGCCUGUCCUGGACAGAGCCACUGAAAUGUUGCUCAGGGACUGUGGGGUUUAAAGGGGUAAAAGACUUGCCACAAGCGAGAUGUGGAUCCUGAAUGUUUCCUGCUGUGGUGGCUCUCUGUGUGCUGUUGGGUGCCUCUCUGGCUGUCGCUCACCAUCCUGCAGCCAGGACUGGGGCGCUGGCAGCCUUUGUCCAUCAGUUGUGGGUGCUGUUUUGCGGACAUGCUGCAAGCUGAGGGACGGGCCCUGACAGCAGCAGCGGCGGCACCACCGUGUGUUGUGUGUUGUGUUGUGCAUUGAUCAGCGAGUGCCACAUCCACAAACACUGUUGUGCUCUCCUGGGGGAAGCUGGCAGUGCCAACAGUAAAUAAACCCAGCUAAAACC
ensembl:lncRNA